AAGUCGUAACAAGGUUUCCGUAGGUGAACCUGCGGAAGGAUCAGUAGAGAUUGCCGGCGCAAGCCGGUCCUACACCACACACACCCGUGAACCGUUGGGGACAGCGAAUUGGCUUCACGCCUUAAUAGCGCCCGUUUACAAACUCUUAGAAACGUAACGAACGUAGUCUUAUUUUAACAAAUAAAACUUUCAACAACGGAUCUCUUGGCUCCCA
rnacentral:misc_RNA from 1 species